AUUAUGGAUCACCUCUUAUGCAGGAUCAGUAACCUGCAGUGACCCCCACUCCCCAUCUCAGACACAGGAGCUGCAGCCCAUCCCAUGUCUGAGGAAAGGAUGCCCUGCUGAUGCUCAGGAUACGCCGUGCAGCAGCGAUGCUUCCGUGAGCUGCUCUUGGCAGAAGAGAAGGGAGCAAUGCACAGCUGCUGAGGGGUCACUCAGAGGAAGGCAGGGCUGGAGCAGCAGUGAGGACACCAGGCCUGCCAAGAACAGCUUGAGGAGAACUCUGACCUGAAAUCUUGGUGCAAAGAACAGAAGUGCUCUCACUAGUUUUAAGAGAGCCCUUAGCUACUUAAAUGAGGGUGACAACACCUUGCAAGAUGGCUCUGUGCAGAGCCAGCAUUAAGGAGACCUAUUCUGCAUUCAUGUCAAUUUCAGGGACACAGGUUUAUUUUAGCCUGGUGCAUAAUCCUGAGGUGCAGUCCCUUAUCUUACUCACCAAUUGUUCACUGCCAGGCGAUCCAUGGUAAUUUGUACAAAGAGUGGCAAUCUCCCGAAGAUCUUUUGUCACAGGUUUAUACAACGGUCCAGGUAAAUGCUGCUCCACAUUUUUUUCUUAAUCAAUGUCAUAUUAUCAGGGCAUGCAAUAUAAUAA